rnacentral:rRNA from 1 species
GGUUAAGUUAGUAAGGGCGCACGGUGAAUGCCUUGGCACUAGGAACCGAUGAAGGACGGGACUAACACCGAUAUGCUUCGGGGAGCUGUAAGCAAGCUUUGAUCCGGAGAUUUCCGAAUGGG